GCUUGAGAGAGGCCUGGCUCAGAAGCACACAUCAGGAUUCGCUUCUGCAAGGUGUGGGUGAGCUCUGGCAAGCUGGGCCCAGAGGCAAGGAGAGAAGCAAAGUCCUCCCCUUGUGAGAACAGUGAGGGUGGAAAGCAAACAACAAGAGGAAGAAGCAACCAUACAGCAUUGAAAGCGAAGCCUUAUCCAUCAUCCACGUCAAAGGGGCUGGAAAGGUCCGAAUCCACCUGAAUGACAACUAAAGUUUCGAGAAUGGGAAUGCAAAAGGGGAUUCAAAGCCACCUGCAUUCCUCGGCCCAUGGCCCCUUCUACCAUCUUUGAAGGCAGCAGCAUAGCACAUCUUCGAAUCUCUCUCUGGCCCUGAAACUCUUGUCUGUGUCUUAUGAGGACCCUUGUGACUACAUUGAGCCCACCCAGAUAAUCCAGGAUAAUCUUCCAGCCUCAAGAUCCUUAACUCAAUCACAUCUGCCAAGUCCCUUUUGCCAUAUAAGAUGCUGUGCCCAUAAAGGCAGCCUGGUGUCUGGAGAUAACCUCACUACACAGUGCCUGAUACAGUGUCUGCUACAUUGUCAUGCUCAAUAGUGUUCCUUUAAUUUUCCUUAGGAGAGCCAUAAGAGCUGAAAGACUAGAUUCAAGGAUCAAGUAUUUAUUGAUUACCUACUAUGUACCAGACCCUGGGCUGGGCCCCGAAGACACAGCAAUGAUGAGACAGGCACAGCUAUGCACCCACAGUAUCUUCCACCAAGCCUGGCUCAUCACACACUUAAGCUGAGGUUAAUCAGAAUUUUUGGCAUCUUUUACAAGCAGCCCUGGUAUCUAGAUGGUAUACACCUGUACAGACAUACUGCUUGGUAAAAUAUUGAAAUAUUUUGUACUACUUGAUAAACAGUCACUGCCUAAGUCUCCGGGGUAUCUCACCACUACCCCCACCCUGCCCUGACCCCACUCUCAGGAACCCCAA
rnacentral:lncRNA from 10 species